CUCACCCUUCAAGGGGAGCUGGAGUCUAAGGUCAGUAACCACUGUGACCCACCUGUGUGUUGAGCUUGGUAGCAGCUAAAGUGGAUUCCAAAGAUGAUUAUGAUGUACUCCUGCUCAUGGGCACUAGAGGAGGUUAGCAGAGCUAGAGGUGGACUGAACCCUCUCCCAGGCUUGUCCAAUACAGCUCUCCUGAAAGCAGUCAUACUUUAUGAACUGAUCCCAGUUAUUUUCCAGGAUCAUUUAUAUUGGCCUCGUGUCUAGGAACAUGCUUGCAGAGAUGAGGUUGUCAAAGCAAUCCAUUGGGGACCUGAAUUAACAGUGAUGAUAGUUGCAGUGGUGAUAGAGCCUCACAACUGUGGGAAGAGAGGAGUUAGAAGCAGCAGGAGGAAGAAAGAGGUCUAUCUACAGGAUGAUUAAGCUAAACAUCCCAGCCACUGACUUGAGGGCAUAGAGCCAGGGAAGAUAGAAGGACAGGAAGGGACUGUGCCCUGACCUCAAGCACCAGCCAGCCUACCAAGCAAUAGAU
rnacentral:lncRNA from 1 species